AAAAAGCUCGGGGAUGACUUGUGGAUAGCGGUGAAAUUCCAAUCGAGCCCGGAGAUAGCUGGUUCUCCCCGAAAUAGCUUUAGGGCUAGCCUCAAGCGUAGAGAAACGGAGGUAGAGCACUGAAUGUCCUAGGGGGUAUUGCACUUACCGAAGACUAUCAAACUCCGAAUGCCGUUUUCUUUACUUGGGAGUCAGACUGUGGGUGAUAAGAUUCAUAGUCAAAAGGGCAACAGCCCAGAUCGUCAGCUAAGGUCCCUAAAUGUACGUUAAGUGGUAAAGGAUGUGGGAUUGCACAGACAACCAGGAUGUUGGCUUAGAAGCAGCCACUCAUUUAAAGAGUGCGUAAUAGCUCACUGGUCGAGUGAUCCUGCGCCGAAAAUUUCCGGGGCUAAAACGUACUACCGAAGCUACGGCAUCAUUUAUGAUGGGUAGGGGAGCUUCGUAUGCAGGCUGAAGCAUGACCGUAAGGACAUGUGGACAGUAUACGAGUGAGAAUGUUGGCAUGAGUAGCGAGACGUGGGUGAGAAUCCCACGGGCCGUAAACCCAAGGUUUCCAGGGGAAGGUUCGUCCGCCCUGGGUUAGUCGGGACCUAAGCCGAGGCCGAAAGGCGUAGGUGAUGGACAACAGGUUGAUAUUCCUGUACCGCCAAUAAGCGUUUGAGAGAUGGAGUGACACAGUAGGAUAAGCUAACCGUACUGUUGGUUAUGUACGGCUAAGCAUUGAGGCAGUCUAAAUAGGCAAAUCCGUUUAGACAAUGCUAGGAUGUGAUAGGGAAGCCCUUCGGGGCGAAGUAGCUGAUUUCACACUGUCAAGAAAAGCUUCUAUCGAGUUUAAAGGCGCCCGUACCGUAAACCGACACAGGUGGGUGAGGAGAGUAUCCUAAGGCCAGCGAGAGAACUAUUGUUAAGGAACUCGGCAAAAUGACCCCGUAACUUAGGGAGAAGGGGUGCCUGUCUAUGACAGGCCGCAGAGAAUAGGCCCAAGCGACUGUUUACCAAAAACACAGGUUUCUGCUAAGUCGCAAGACGAUGUAUAGGAGCUGACGCCUGCCCGGUGCUGGAAUGUUAAGGGGAUCUGUUAGAGCAAUCGAAGCAGUGAACUUAAGCCCCAGUAAACGGCGGCCGUAACAAUAACGGUCCUAAGGUAGCGAAAUUCCUUGUCGGGUAAGUUCCGACCCGCUAAAGGCGUAACGAUUUGGGCACUGUCUCAACAAUAGACUCGGUGAAAUUGUAAUCCCGGUGAAGAUGCCGGGUACCUGCGACAGGACGGAAAGACCCCAUGGAGCUUUACUGUAGCUUGACGUUGGGUCUUGGUACUACAUGUACAGGAUAGGUGGGAGACUAUGAAGCAUGGACGCCAGUCUGUGUGGAGUCAUCCUUGGGAUACCACCCUUGUAGUACUGGGAUCCUAACCAUAGGCCUUGAAUCAGGUCUUGGAACACCGUCAGGUGGGCAGUUUGACUGGGGCGGUCGCAAA
rnacentral:rRNA from 1 species